GGAGGGUGUGUAAGUGCAUAAUUCUGCAGAACUUGCAUUCUACAGAUUAUGCAGUCUCGCUAUGCGAAUUGUCUCGUAUAGCGAGACCCUAUAGAGAGGGCUCUAUGUCUAAGUCAUUCGCUGUACGAGCUGGUGCGUUGUGCAAAUGAUUGGAGGGUUCUGCUCUCUAUUUGAUGAUUCACAUAGCGAAUCUAUUCACUAUGCGACUGGGAGAAGUCU
rnacentral:lncRNA from 1 species